GCAGGGAGUUAAAUAAACAUAAAGACCUUUCUUUUUAAAUUCCACACCCAAAGCCUAACCCCUAGAUUCCCCAGAUUAAGAAUUCUCAAUUGACUAAUGAAUGCUUGGAGAGGGGAGGGGCAUGUAUGCCUCUCCCCACCUACAAAAGCCCGAGCUGGUGAAUGGGAGCUGCCUCUUUGACCUGCCUUGGCUUCACCCAGUCAAGGUCUAGCACGGCUAGGCGUUGGAGGACUUAACGGCCUGGAAGAGGCACAGUUGACUCCUUUCUUUGUUCAUCUUAGCCUUCCACCCACCCCGAAGGAGAAGGUAGCCAACUGGAUGGCUUUGAAGGGCCAAGGCUUGGCCUCACCUCCCUGAAUGCAAGCCAGAGGAGAAGACAGCCACCAGAAGAUCUUGCAUGGAGGGGAAGGCAAGAGUGACUUGAACUGCUGCUCUUGAACUGACCAGGCUGGUCUUGAACUGCUGACCUCAAGUGAUUCGCCUGCCUCGGCUUCCCAAAGUACUGGAAUUACAGAGAGGUGGAGUAUUGUGUCCCUGCUGCUUACCAGAGACAGAGGAGAGAAAGGACUAUAGCCCAGAGAAGUGACAGUGAGAGACGUACCCCUUCUUCAAAAGUCCUCCCAGCAAAGGGGGCUCUUCAUCCCUUCUCCACUUUUGUAUCUCCCAGCCCAGGUAACUGCGUAAGUCCUUCCAGAUAUUCAGCCUUGAGAUUUCCUGCUGCUAUACCAGUUUAUUUCUCUUGUGCUCCUUUUCCUUAAGAUGCCCAGCUUUUGAGAUGUACAAGAAAAAGGGCAGGGGUAAGGGACUGCCAUAUGGCAGUAGAAAAAGUCUCUAAUCUGCACUGUGAGGGGAGAGUGGGGCAAGAGGAAAGACAGCAUCAGUCAAAGUGCCCCAGACCUCUCCUUAGUGGCCAGGGGGCCCUGAGCCUGGGUCCAGAUAGGCUGGCCUCUCUGUAAAGAGUAUCUGGUCCUGUAAAAAAAGUGAAGAAGAAUUCUGGGCCUGGGGACUGGCGUUUCCUCAUCUCAGUUUUGCCACCUAUGCUUGGUAUCUUGCCAAGGAACAGGGAUCUCAGUGGUUGAAAUGAUAGUUGUUCACCCGCUCUGACAUCUGUGCAGAGCGAAGAAGAUAUUCCAAGGAGGCCCAGAUCCCUGAUACAUUAAGAUAUGAGGAUGCCAGUAAGACGCGCAACAGAGACUAGGCAUCGGGGACAGUAGUGAGGUUAAGUGGCCAUCUUAGGCCUCCUACAGAAGGGGAAGGUGGUAGACGAAGGAGGUCAGGCUCCAUGGAUGGGGCAUGGGUGUCAGAGGACACUUAAGAAGCAGUGCUGCUAUUGAACAAGAAAGACUAGACGCUAGCCACCAUAAAGGACUGUCUACUGAGAAGUAUCCAAAAUAUUUAGGGAGAAAUGUUUUGGAUGGGUUGAAGCUGCUCAGAGGCAGGGACUUAGAAAGAAUGACCUUGGCAAAGAUAGGCUCCCAGUGUAUAUAUCUACCGUGUGCCAGCAUUGCCUGCGAAUGACUGGGAUCCAUUCCACACCACCCAUUUUCAGCCCUUCCCUUUCCAUUGCUUCAUAUGCCAGCUCCAGUAUGGCAGGGGAAGUGUUGGGGGGAGGGCAAUUUGUACUAAAUGAACCAGUUAUCUCUUAUUAGGUUUAAUGAAUAUCUCAUUGCCUGAAUCACGGGGAUUGGAAGAUCCCUGCUUCCAAUGAGUAGCCUGGUUGAGGAGACCUGUUCAGAUAAAAGGAGAAGAGUGUUAGCGUUCAGCCACUCAGGCAGAGGCCUUGAGAUGGGGAGUGGGUAUGUGUGUGGGGGGGAGGGCAGUGGGAAAUAGACUUUUUGGAAAAAAUGGAGACAGUAAUAAUGAAUUAAUAACUCAGAUGGGAAGCUGCACAACUGGAGACAGCAUGAAGUCCAUUCCCCUUAGAGGUGGCAAAAUGGUCUGUCAAAGGUCGCAAGGGAAGGCACAGUAGACCUGGGACUAGAACCCAGGCCACUCAGGUUAGGAUUCACCUAUGUUUCUUACUAACUCCAUCUUUCCCACCCCUGUACCCCAGUCUCAUUCCAAAUGCUUUUUUUCAGCAAAGACACUCCUGAUACCUAAAUGGCUCUGACCAUUAUGUGACUCUAGUCUUCUGUAAGAGUCUGGAAAGCAGAGAAUCGAGUGAGCAGGAAGCAAGGGACACUGAGGAAAAGGGAGAAGUCUCUCAUCUUCCUUUGGCUCUCGGUUUUAGUUUUCUUGGAUUCUGUCCCCAAGGCCAGAGUUUCUUGGCUUUUAACAUUCCUCAGUGCUUCCUUGAAGACCUAAAACCACCCACUCAAUGGAUCCAUUUAGUAUCAGAACUGGUUUAGAGGGUUAUGUUUUAUGUUUUCAUCCAAGCUAGAAAUGAGAUUGAGUUUGCAGCUAGGAUUAUGGCCUGAAGUUCUAUUAAGGACACUGAACAUCAUGGCAGUUGAAGAGUGAAAUUAAAUAAGGUUCAUAUGAGUGGAAAUAUAAGGGCUAAGCUUACUUAACCCUAACUAUAAGAGAGCCCGUUAACUUAAAGCACAACUCUUAACAAUGUCACUCCAACCCGUAUAACCCCCUGGUAGAGGUUUGCUAAGGGUUUUGGUUGAGAUUAAUUAAGUAAUUAGUCCAUUCACCCAUUCAUUCAUCUGUUCAUCCCACAAACAUGUAUUAAAAGCUCACUCUAUGCCAGGCACUGGGAGAAGCACUUGGGAUAUAAAGAAGAAUGAAGCACACCCCCUUGUUGUCCAAAACCUCGUCCUCUAGUGGGAAAGACAGACAGAUAAUUACAACAGAGUUGGGAAGUGCAGAUAGAAAAAUGCCUGUGUUUUUUAGUGCAAAACAGGAGUCACUCAACUCAGCUUGCAGGCAUCAAGAAAAGUUUCCUAGAAGUGGAGAUUCAGGAUCUUUAGUCAGAGUCUGAGUGUGGCUUUAGAUUAGAUGGCUCCCCUCUCUGGGCUCAGUUUCCUGCUAACUCUGAUGCCCCCAUGGUACUGUAAUAUUAUUUGCCUCUAACAUUGAGUUAUGAGAUAUUCCCUGGGGAUGCUUUUUAGUGGGUUCCAUCAGGGCCCAUAGGGCAUUCUGCAAAUUCUCUGUGUUUGAGAACUACUUCUGGAAACUUUUGGCUCAUUUCCUCUCAAGGAACCAGAGCCAAGAUUCUUCCCCAGGUCCAGAGUUGGGGAGCAAUUUUCUGACUCCCACUCCUUUCACCUGACUUGGUGCCUUCCUACCUGUGACAGCCAAGCUCCAGGACGGUGGAACUCCUCUCUACUUCCACUGGCUUUCCGGCUUCUGUGCCAGGGAACAGGCCUCAUGCUACCUGCCAGGCAGGGUCUGGCUGCUGGCUCAGAUGGCAUUUCCUAAAUGGACAGAUGGAGAAUGUUGGUUUAAUAUCUCUCCAGUGCUUCUAUUCCAGCCUCCAAGACACAGCCAGCAAACAGGACCUGGUACCAAGUCCUCUCUUCCAGAAUUGGAAGCCCUACUCUGAAAGGCAGUGCUCCCUUGGUGGCUUCUGGCAGGAUUGGAAAGCCAUAACUUUGGAGAGAAACACAAUAAACCAGAAAUUUCCUCCCAGGCCAGCUCUCCUUGCUUCUAUAAAUGUGCUAGAAACAGUUGAACUGGCUCACAGACCUUCAUGUGAAGGAACUGAGGCCUGGGGUGGGUGAGUGACCUGAGCGACGCAAACGCUCCAUGUGUGUAGAGAAGAGAGAAGACGGUGGCAGCUCAGGCCUACUGCAAUGCCCAUCACUACCACCUGCUUCUGACUAAAGAUAUUGGUGGUGGUGAUGGAGAGAGGAUAUUGGAGAGGAUGUUGUUACCUCCGACCAGGUUAACCAGUAAAGGUUAGAAUUUUCUGUCUCAGUUGAAUUAAAGCAUGACUAUGGGACUUUGGCCAAUAAAAUGUGAGUGGAAGUGUCACGGCUGUCCAGAAGUUUUAGGAAGCAAGUUAUGCUCUGCCAUGUUCUCUUUUGCCUUGGUCACAGUGACUGGCAAUAACCUAGGUGAUGUGCUGUCAACCCGGGUCCUAGGGGGAGGAGGAUGAUGGGGUUGAACAGAGCCCUCAGCUGACCCUCAAGAUUGCAUAGUGAAAAAUAAACCUUUGUGUUUGUAAGCCACUGAA